rnacentral:rRNA from 1 species
CUGGCUCAGGAUGAACGCUGGCGGCGUGCUUAACACAUGCAAGUCGAGCGAGAAGGCUUUAACUAAUCCUUCGGGAGAAGAUAGAGCUGGAAAGCGGCGGACGGGUGAGUAACGCGUGGGUAACCUGCCUUGUACAGAGGGAUAGCCGCCGGAAACGGUGAUUAAUACCUCAUAAG